GGCUUGUUGAUUAUAAUUUCAAGUUUGACCUGCCCAAUGAAAGUUUAAAUGGCCGCGGUAUACUGACCGUGCAAAGGUAGCAUAAUCAAUAGUUUUUUAAUUGAAAGCUGGUAUGAAAGGUUUGAUGAGAGAAUAACUGUCUCUAGGAGAGUUGAUUAGAAUUUUAUUUUUAAGUGAAAAAGCUUAAAUUUUUAUAGAAGACGAGAAGACCCUAUAGAGUUUUAUAUAAAAAAUAGUAAUGUAAAUUAGGUAUUUAGGAGUUUUAUUAUUUUAUUUAUUUUGUUGGGGUGAUAGGAAAAUUAGAGAAACUUUUCUUUAAAUUUGACGUUAAUUUGCGAGUGAGUGAUCCAAUAUUUUAGAUUAUAAGAUUAAACUACCUUAGGGAUAACAGCGUAAUUUUUUAAAGAGUUCUUAUCGGAAAGAAAGUUUGCGACCUCGAUGUUGGAUUAAAGUUUAUAUUUGGUGCAGAAGCUAAAAUAUUGGGUCUGUUCGACCCUUAAAACUUUACAUGAUCUGAGUUUAAACCGGCGUGAG
rnacentral:rRNA from 1 species